rnacentral:rRNA from 1 species
ACACUCCUGCGGGAGGCAGCAGUGGGGAAUUUUGGACAAUGGGCGAAAGCCUGAUCCAGCCAUGCCGCGUGCAGGAUGAAGGCCUUCGGGUUGUAAACUGCUUUUGUACGGAACGAAACAGCCUUUUCUAAUAAAGAGGGCUAAUGACGGUACCGUAAGAAUAAGCACCGGCUAACUACGUGCCAGCAGCCGCGGUAAUAAGUAGGGUGCAAGCGUUAAUCGGAAUUACUGGGCGUAAAGCGUGCGCAGGCGGGUAAGUAAGACAGUUGUGAAAUCCCCGGGCUCAACCUGGGAACUGCAUCUGUGACUGCAUAGCUAGAGUACCGUAGAGGGGGAUGGAAUUCCGCGUGUAGCAGUGAAAUGCGUAGAUAUGCGGAGGAACACCGAUGGCGAAGGCAAUCCCCUGGACCUGUACUGACGCUCAUGCACGAAAGCGUGGGGAGCAAACAGGAUUAGAAACCCUAGUAGUCCC